rnacentral:rRNA from 1 species
GUGGGGGAUAUUGCACAAUGGAGGAAACUCUGAUGCAGCGACGCCGCGUGAGUGAAGAAGUAUUUCGGUAUGUAAAGCUCUAUCAGCAGGGAAGAUAAUGACAGUACCUGACUAAGAAGCCCCGGCUAACUACGUGCCAGCAGCCGCGGUAAUACGUAGGGGGCAAGCGUUAUCCGGAUUUACUGGGUGUAAAGGGAGCGUAGACGGAAUGGCAAGUCUGAAGUGAAAUCCUGCGGCUUAACUGCAGAAUUGCUUUGGAAACUGUCAAUCUGGAGUGUUGGAGAGGUAAGCGGAAUUCCUGGUGUAGCGGUGAAAUGCGUAGAUAUCAGGAAGAACACCGGAGGCGAAGGCGGCUUACUGGACAAUAACUGACGUUGAGGCUCGAAAGCGUGGGAAGCAAACAGGAUUAGAAACCCGAGUAGUCC